rnacentral:rRNA from 1 species
AUUGAACGCUGGCGGCAUGCUUUACACAUGCAAGUCGAACGGUAACAGGCCGCAAGGUGCUGACGAGUGGCGAACGGGUGAGUAAUGCAUCGGAACGUGCCCAGUCGUGGGGGAUAACGCAGCGAAAGCUGCGCUAAUACCGCAUACGAUCUAUGGAUGAAAGCGGGGGACCGUAAGGCCUCGCGCGAUUGGAGCGGCCGAUGUCAGAUUAGGUAGUUGGUGGGGUAAAGGCUCACCAAGCCAACGAUCUGUAGCUGGUCUGAGAGGACGACCAGCCACACGGGAACUGAGACACGGCCCAGACUCCUACGGGAGGCAGCAGUGGGGAAUUUUGGACAAUGGGCGCAAGCCUGAUCCAGCAAUGCCGCGUGCAGGAAGAAGGCCUUCGGGUUGUAAACUGCUUUUGUACGGAACGAAACGGUCCUGGUUAAUACCUGGGGCUAAUGACGGUACCGUAAGAAUAAGCACCGGCUAACUACGUGCCAGCAGCCGCCGUAAAAC